UACGGAGGGUGCGAGCGUUGUCCGGAAUCACUGGGCGUAAAGGGCGCGUAGGCGGCGCGGGAAGUCAUCGGUGAAAGUUCAGGGCUCAACUCUGAAUCGGCCGGUGAUACUCUCGUGCUCGAGCACUGUAGAGGCAGGUGGAAUUCCGGGUGUAGCGGUGGAAUGCGUAGAGAUCCGGAAGAACACCUGUGGCGAAGGCGGCCUGCUGGGCAGUAGCUGACGCUGAUGCGCGACAGCGUGGGGAGGCAAACAGG
rnacentral:rRNA from 1 species